UUCAUAUUUACUAUUUUAUAGGAUUAUCUCGGUUAAAGCAACAUUGCAUAACAAUUUUACCUUAAAAUAACAGCUUCAAAAUCAUUUUGAUGCUACACUGACUUGUAAUAGGGAGAAUGGUGCUGCGGUCAUUCCCACUACCACUGAUUUUGGUGAAAUUGGAUCAUAUUUUAUGGAGAAAAUGUUUUCUGGUUUUCCCUCUGAUGUCCUCUGGCUGCUCUGCUUUGACUCUGGGUUCCAAAUCGCAUACUUUUUUUUAAAAACUUUUUACUUUUAGUAUUUGUAUGUACUGCAGCUGCCAUAGUACGCCAUGCCACAUAGUAAGUAUGGUUGCAUAGGGCCUACUGAAUGCAUACAACUGGGACUUCUUAAAACCAUUGCGCCUUAACCUUUGACCCUCUUGCUCAUAUAUGCUACAUGAGGGAUUGUGGGUCAGAAUAGCCAUGAAAACAUGCUUGCUUGCAUACUGCAACACCUGACCGGAUGCAGUAGGCAUACUGCAAUUGACAUACUUUGUAUUGGGACAUACUUAAUCUUUUUCUGGCAUACUAAAUAGUAUGAUAGUAUGGAUAUUGGAAUGCAGGGUCAGUGAUUCACGGAGUUUCCUGAUAGACGGCAAUCUUUACUUGUUGCUAAAGUAAUGCUAACAGCUAACUGCUGCUAACUGUAGCUGCCAUCAGCGAGUUAGCUCGAUUAGCAGUGCUGUCAGGACUGGGAGGUUGGAGUAAAGGGGAGUGUUGGUGUUUACACCCUACACAGAAGCUUUGGACCGCUGGGGGGGGGGGUGCUGGCAGGGAUCAACUGCUCCAGCAGUUAUGGCUUUGUAAUGGACCCAGCCACUGCCCUGGAUGACAAGGUUGAGAGAUGGAUAGAUUUUUUUUUUUUCCUGUGGCAUCACAAGAUUGACAAAUAUAGGAGCCAGGAUGGCAUCACUGACUCUGUGCACAAUGUCAAAUUUACUUGAAUUAUUCAUGUUGUCUGAUAUAAUUCAAUAAAAGUUAAGAAUAUAAUAAAAUGUGUGUAAAUGAGUAAAUUGUAAAUUAUUUAUUAUAUAUUAUUAAUUAAGACUAUUUUACAGUUCAGUGCGGAUGUGAUGUCAUUUAGCAAUUCUAUUCUCUGCACUUCAAGCAGCCGUGUUUAUGUCCCUUGUUCCCACCUUGAACCUAAACAGCCCCUGUGGGGCCAGAGUAAGGGAAAUGUAUAUUGAAAUUUCCUGGAAGUCCCUUUUGUGUGUCAUAGAGGACAGGGUGUCUUCCAGAGGCUAAAGGAGGCUUUUCCAUCAGCCAGGAAGUAAAAAUAUUUCCUAUUCUCCUGCUGCCCUGUGAGCAAUCAUCUGGCUGUAUCAUUCUACCUGCUGCCAAGCUGACUUGUGUGGUAUUAUAUCUGGACUCGCUGCCCCGAGCCUCACACCUUCUGUUAUCCAAAGCCCCGACUUGCUGGCCCUGACUGAAUGCCUUGUAGUGCUUAAGACUGCAGCUCCACACAACUGCCUGUCUGCACUGUGAAGGUGCACACUUCCCAUUAGGACUGUGCAUAGUAAACGGAUCUCAGAUGAAAAUUAUUGGGACUUCUGCCCAAAAUAGGGAUGCUGUGGACUACUUUUGAAGCAAGACCCCUGCCUUGUGCUGCCAAGCACACACCUGAGAGGCGAGUGAUCCCAGUACCAGCCCCAUGUGAGUUUUAGUCAUGGCAAUAAUUGUGAGACACAUGACAACUAAAGUGUUGUGUGAGAGAAAAGGCAUCCUUUUUAUACCACUGCCAAACAUGUUAUGAAGGAAACAUAAUUGCCACCUUGAAUAAUGUUCAGUGGCAGUGUUUUUCUGAGUGAAGGAAGUACUACAUUUGUAUUAUGCAUGCAAUUUGUAGGUAAAUGAUUGGAGUGGAUGGUAAGCAUCCCAACACAGGACUUUGACACCAGGACAGUGGUUCACAUCCAUCAUAAGUGCCACAAGGUUUUAGAUUCAGGCAACAAAAGCACAUUGAUUAAGAUUAGGGAAUGAAAUUGGUUUUGGUUAAAUGUAAACAAAGUAAACACUGCAAUUCUUGU